UGAGGAAUAUUGGUCAAUGGGGGGAACCCUGAACCAGCCAUCCCGCGUGCAGGAAGACAGUUCUAUGGAUUGUAAACUGCUUUUCUUGGGGAAGAAUAAUGACGACGUGUCGUCAGAUGACGGUACCCGAGGAAUAAGCAUCGGCUAACUCCGUGCCAGCAGCCGCGGUAAUACGGAGGAUCCGAGCGUUGUCCGGAAUUACUGGGCAUAAAGGGAGCGUAGGCGGACAUGUGCGUCAGAGGGUAAAUACAACGGCUUAACCGUUGACCGCCUUUGAUACGGCAUGUCUUGAGUACGAGAGAGGCGAGUGGAAUUCCUGGUGUAGCGGUGAAAUGCGUAGAUAUCAGGAGGAACACCUGCGGCGAAGGCGACUCGCUGGCUCGUAACUGACGCUGAGGCUCGAAAGCGUGGGGAUCAAACA
rnacentral:rRNA from 1 species